AGUUUUGAUUCAUCAUGGAUAAUCUGUCAUCAGAAGAAAUUCAACAGAGAGCUCACCAGAUUACUGAUGAGUCUCUGGAAAGUACGAGGAGAAUCCUGGGUUUAGCCAUUGAGGUAAGAAAAUGUUAGUCAUCAACUUAAGUAUAGAAAUUUAUAGGAAAGAUCCUAAUACUUCUGGCUGGAAUUAGUAUUAAAGGGUAAUGUAUCAAUAUGCUUUAUUAUUUGAAAUUAACAGUUUCUGAAAUGUCAAACCAUGCACUAAUGGGAAUUUUCUGUUUUUCCCUUUGACAGUAUUGGAAUAUGACAGGGAAGAUGAAUUCACUAUGAGUUUGUGACUUAAUUAUUUUGGGGGGCUGCUAUGUUAAAGUGUGUUAGUUUAAGAAUACUAGUUCUGUCUGUAGCUCUAAUCCUCUGAGAGCUUGGGUUUCUAAAUUAUUCUGUGUUGCUCUUGUAGGUUUUGUUUCUGUUGUUUUUGGUUUGUUUUGUUGUACUAUCAGCUUUCUCCCCCCUUGUCUUAGUCUCAGGAUGCAGGAAUCAAGACCAUCACUAUGCUGGAUGAACAAAAGGAACAACUAAACCGCAUAGAAGAAGGCUUGGACCAAAUAAAUAAGGACAUGAGAGAGACAGAGAAGACUUUAACAGAACUCAACAAAUGCUGUGGCCUUUGUGUCUGCCCAUGUAAUAGAACAAAGAACUUUGAGUCUGGCAAGGCUUAUAAGACAACAUGGGGAGAUGGUGGAGAAAACUCACCUUGCAAUGUAGUAUCUAAACAGCCAGGCCCGGUGACAAAUGGUCAGCUUCAGCAACCAACAACAGGAGCAGCCAGUGGUGGAUACAUUAAACGCAUAACUAAUGAUGCCAGAGAAGAUGAAAUGGAAGAGAACCUGACUCAAGUGGGCAGUAUCCUGGGAAAUCUAAAAGACAUGGCCCUGAACAUAGGCAAUGAGAUUGAUGCUCAAAAUCCACAAAUAAAACGAAUCACAGACAAGGCUGACACCAACAGAGAUCGUAUUGAUAUUGC
rnacentral:sRNA from 1 species